GGUUAAUGCUAGCGGUGCGCCUAACACAUGCAAGUCGAGCGAGAAUUUAGUAGCUUGCUACUGGAGGAAAGCGGCGAACGGGUGAGUAAAAUGUUGGAACCUACCUUUAAGUCAGGGAUAGCCCAUUGAAAAAUGGAUUAAUACCGGAUGUGCUCUAAGGAGUAAAGAUUUAUCGCUUAAAGAGGGGCCUGCAAUCUAUCAGUUAGUUGGUGGGGUAAAGGCUUACCAAGACAAUGACGGAUAGCUGAUCUGAGAGGAUGAUCAGCCACAAUGGAACUGAGACACGGUCCAUACUCCUACGGGAGGCAGCAGUGAGGGAUCUUCCACAAUGGGCGAAAGCCUGAUGGAGCGACACCGCGUGAAGGAAGAAGGCCUAACGGUUGUAAACUUCUUUUCUGAAGGAGCAUAAUGAGAGUACUUCAGGAAUAAGGAACGGCUAAUCACGUG
rnacentral:rRNA from 1 species